GCACAUAUACAUAUUCAAUCAUGAGCAUACUACAAAAUCCUUCGCCUGUGCAACACUGAUUGAUAAAUUUUGCUUGUAAGUAUUAGUGAUCCAAGCAGGCCUUGAAAAAAAUUCUGCAACGGCUAUUUGAGCCACACAUUGUUCGUUCAGAAAGAGUGGUUACGUCAUAGAAACAGCACGUGCGGCAGACAGAGGACGAAAUUGAAAUAAGGCAAAUUUGAUCCGAAAUUGAACGAGCUGUUCUAAGUGCCAAGGAUAAAAAACAGACGAGAAAAUUUUGAACCGCAUGCAUCCUUCAAUUCCAAAAAUGAAAAAACAGCCAGUUGGAGGAAGUUGGCAGUGCCCGUGGUCGAUGCAAAUGUUUAAUCAUGAUUUAUUUUUCCGAACUAGAGCAUCGUAUGUCUUUCACGCACAGGAUAGUUCAUGGGAACGCGGCCUUCGGAUACCAUUAGUUCAAGUUGGGUUCGGUCAGAGUUGGCUAUUCCGCGGUACCUCGAACGAAACGAAGCCAUUGAUACCAGCAGUAUCUGAUCAGUGAUGUCUUGUGUUCCGGCGUAAUCGACGUGGCCAACGACGGGCAAAAUAAGAAAUUUUUAAA